rnacentral:rRNA from 1 species
UUCACCUACGGGAGGCAGCAGUGGGGAAUAUUGCACAAUGGGGGAAACCCUGAUGCAGCAACGCCGCGUGAAGGAAGACGGUUUUCGGAUUGUAAACUUCUAUCAAUAGGGAAGAAAGAAAUGACGGUACCUAAAUAAGAAGCCCCGGCUAACUACGUGCCAGCAGCCGCGGUAAUACGUAGGGGGCAAGCGUUAUCCGGAAUUACUGGGUGUAAAGGGUGAGUAGGCGGCACUGUAAGUAAGAUGUGAAAGCCUUAGGCUUAACCUGAGGAUUGCAUUAUAAACUGCA